rnacentral:rRNA from 1 species
AGUGAACGCUGGCGGUAGGCCUAACACAUGCAAGUCGAACGGCAGCACAGUAAGAGCUUGCUCUUACGGGUGGCGAGUGGCGGACGGGUGAGGAAUACAUCGGAAUCUACUUUUUCGUGGGGGAUAACGUAGGGAAACUUACGCUAAUACCGCAUACGACCUACGGGUGAAAGCAGGGGAUCUUCGGACCUUGCGCGAUUGAAUGAGCCGAUGUCGGAUUAGCUAGUUGGCGGGGUAAAGGCCCACCAAGGCGACGAUCCGUAGCUGGUCUGAGAGGAUGGUCAGCCACACUGGAACUGAGACACGGUCCAGACUCCUACGGGAGGCAGCAGUGGGGAAUAUUGGACAAUGGGUGCAAGCCUGAUCCAGCCAUACCGCGUGGGUGAAGAAGGCCUUCGGGUUGUAAAGCCCUUUUGUUGGGAAAGAAAAGCAGCAGGUUAAUACCCCGCUGUUCUGACGGUACCCAAAGAAUAAGCACCGGCUAACUUCGUG